rnacentral:rRNA from 1 species
GGGCAUCGAGCUAACUCCCAACCCCUGUGAACAUACCUAUACGUUGCCUCGGCGGAUCAGCCCGCGCCCCGUAAAAAGGGACGGCCCGCCCGAGGACCCCUAAACUCUGUUUUUAGUGGAACUUCUGAGUAAAACAAACAAAUAAAUCAAAACUUUCAACAACGGAUCUCUUGGUUCUGGCAUCGAUGAAGAACGCAGCAAAAUGCGAUAAGUAAUGUGAAUUGCAGAAUUCAGUGAAUCAUCGAAUCUUUGAACGCACAUUGCGCCCGCCAGUAUUCUGGCGGGCAUGCCUGUUCGAGCGUCAUUUCAACCCUCAAGCUCAGCUUGGUGUUGGGACUCGCGGUAACCCGCGUUCCCCAAAUCGAUUGGCGGUCACGUCGAGCUUCCAUAGCGUAGUAAUCAUACACCUCGUUACUGGUAAUCGUCGCGGCCACGCCGUAAAACCCCAACUUCUGAAUGUUGACCUCGGAUCAGGUAGGAAUACCCGCUGAACUUAAGCAUAUCAAAAGAGGGGAGGAA